AGGGUUUGAUCAUGGCUCAGAUUGAACGCUGGCGGCGUGCCUAACACAUGCAAGUCGAGCGGUAACAGGUGUAGCAAUACAUGCUGACGAGCGGCGGACGGGUGAGUAACGCUUGGGAAUCUGCCUGUUAGUGGGGGACAACACGGGGAAACUCGUGCUAAUACCGCAUACGCACUACGGUGGAAAGCCGGGGACCGCAAGGCCUGGCGCUAACAGAUGAGCCCAAGUCGGAUUAGCUAGUUGGUAGGGUAACGGCCUACCAAGGCGACGAUCCGUAACUGGUCUGAGAGGACGACCAGUCACACCGGAACUGAGACACGGUCCGGACUCCUACGGGAGGCAGCAGUGGGGAAUAUUGGACAAUGGGGGCAACCCUGAUCCAGCGACGCCGCGUGGGUGAAGAAGGCCUGCGGGUUGUAAAGCCCUUUCGGUUGGGAAGAAAAGCUGUGACCUAACACGUUGCGGCCUUGACGUAACCAACUAAAGAAGCACCGGCUAACUCUGUGCCAGCAGCCGCGGUAAUACAGAGGGUGCGAGCGUUAAUCGGAAUUACUGGGCGUAAAGCGCGCGUAGGCGGCUUUGUAAGUCGGUUGUGAAAUCCCCGGGCUUAACCUGGGAACUGCAUCCGAGACUGCAUGGCUAGAGUAUGGGAGAGGGAAGUGGAAUUUCAGGUGUAGCGGUGAAAUGCGUAGAUAUCUGAAGGAACAUCAGUGGCGAAAGCGACUUCCUGGACCAAUACUGACGCUCAUGUGCGAAAGCGUGGGGAGCAAACAGGAUUAGAUACCCUGGUAGUCCACGCCAUAUACGAUGAGAACUGGAUGUCGGAGGGGUCUGCCCUUCGGU
rnacentral:rRNA from 1 species